UGCGAGGUGGAGUUUCAGGAGGCAGGAGAAAUCCAGAGCGAGGUGGAGCUCCAGGUGGAGGUGGAUCAGGCACUAGAUGGGAGACUCAGGAGGAUGAGAGGCGAUGUCGCAGGAUAAGAUUUCUAUUGUCGCAAGAGACUUUCCCAAGCAGAUCUUUGGUUAGAGUGACACAGUCCAUGAUGGAGAUGGGAUCGAGUGGCCUGGCUCC
rnacentral:lncRNA from 1 species